UACAGAGGUGGCAAGCGUUGUUCGGAUUCAUUGGGCGUAAAGGGUGCGUAGGCGGUUCAGUCAGUCGGGUGUGAAAUCUCCGGGCUCAACUCGGAGGGGCCACCCGAUACUGCUGUGACUCGAGUCCGGUAGGGGAGUGGGGAAUUCCUGGUGUAGCGGUGAAAUGCGCAGAUAUCAGGAGGAACACCGGUGGCGAAGGCGCCACUCUGGGCCGGUACUGACGCUGAGGAGCGAAAGCGUGGGGAGCAAACAGG
rnacentral:rRNA from 1 species